GAUGAACGCUGGUGGCGUGCCUAAUACAUGCAAGUCGAGCGAACGGACGAGAAGCUUGCUUCUCUGAUGUUAGCGGCGGACGGGUGAGUAACACGUGGAUAACCUACCUAUAAGACUGGGAUAACUUCGGGAAACCGUAGCUAAUACCGGAUAAUAUUUUGAACCGCAUGGUUCAAAAGUUAAAGACGGUCUUGCUGUCACUUAUAGAUGGAUCCGCGCUGCAUUAGCUAGUUGGUAAGGUAACGGCUUACCAAGGCAACGAUGCAUAGCCGACCUGAGAGGGUGAUCGGCCACACUGGAACUGAGACACGGUCCAGACUACUACGGGAGGCAGCAGUAGGGAAUCUUCCGCAAUGGGCGAAAGCCUGACGGAGCAACGACGCGUGAGUGAUGAAGGUCUUCGGAUCGUAAAACUCUGUUAUUAGGGAAGAACAUAUGUGUAAGUAACUGUGCACAUCUUGACGGUACCUAAUCAGAAAGCCACGGCUAACUACGUG
rnacentral:rRNA from 1 species